AUGGAGGUAGCGAAAAAGUCGGGAGAAAGAUACCCUCCAAAGAUUCUUCAACCUCUUUUGCUUCCAGGCCCCAAAGACUGGAAAGAUGUCUGUCAAAGCGGAAAGAGACAGUCGCCUAUCGAUAUAACGGGAGCAACACAAGACAAAGACUUGGGUGCAUUUACUCUCACCAAUUAUGACAGCACUCCGAUCAACGAUAGCUUCACUGUUCUUAACAACGGCCACGGACUUAAAGUUAAUUUUCCUGACAAGGUUUAUAAUGUGACCGGUGGAGGGCUCCCCGGAGAGUUCACAACUGCUCAGCUCCAUAUUCACUGGGGAAAAGUUGAUGACAGAGGAUCGGAGCACACUGUCGAUAAAAAGAAAUAUGCAGCUGAGUUGCAUUUUGUGAGUUACAACAUCGAGUAUGGGGCAGUUUCAAAUCUCUUAAAGAUGAGGAUGGACUUGCCGUACUUGGAGUCUUAAUCGAGGUUGGAGGUUCGGACAAUCUCGCCUUUUCAUUCUUAGACUUUGCAAGUAACGUGACAAGCCCAAAUACGAGCGUCAUCAUUGAGCCAUUCACGUUUGACCGUAUACUGCCUGAAGACAAGACCAAGUACUUCCGGUACAAAGGUUCACUGACCACACCACCAUGCAGCGAAGUCGUCACAUGGACAGUUUUCAAAGAUCCUGUCUCAAUAUCAGAACGCCAGGUAAACCUAAUGCGCAGUCUUAAAUUUGAAGACGACAAGACAAAGAUGGUUGACAAUUACCGCCCGGUGAUGCCACUCCACGGUCGCGCCAUCAAAGCCAGUUUUGUCACAGCUGGCUCAUCUGCAAUUAAGAUGACCGCUGUCCUGUCGCUGCCAAUACUGCUUGCCACGUUUUCUUUCCAUUAGUUGGUAUGAAACAAAAUGGCCUCAGCUUUUUUUUAAGUAGUUUGCCACGUUUCAUCUGAAACUCGCAUAAGGGGAGAAUUUUGAACAUCAUAAGUUUAGAUGCUGAAAUAUUACACUGUAAAGUGGAUUGCUUUUCCUUAGAUUAGGCUUUGCUUUUGAAAUAUUUGCUGUGAUGAGUUGUAUUUUUCUCGUUUUACGUGAUAUAUUAUCAACUUCAACUUGCAACCAGCUUGAAAGGAUUGUAUGGAGUAUGGCGCGCUGUCAAGUUUGAGGCAUGUUGACUGGGAUCGCGCACCGUUUAGUGAUAAACGUCUGCAGUGGCCAUUCUUUUGAAUAAUUUCCCAUUAUUUAUCAUC